AUUGAACGCUAGCGGGAUGCCUUACACAUGCAAGUCGAACGGCGUGGCGAACGGGUGAGUAAUGUAUCGGAACGUGCCCCGUCGCGGGGGAUAACUACCCGCACGCGUAGCUAAUACCGCAUACUCUUGGACGGGCCGACAUCGGUUUAGCUAGUUGGUGGGGUAACUGCUCACCAAGGCGACGAUCCGUAGCUGGUUUGAGAGGAAGACCAGCCACACUGGGACUGAGACACGGCCCAGACUCCUACGGGAGGCAGCAGUGGGGAAUUUUGGACAAUGGGCGAAACCCUGAUCCAGCCAUGCCGCGUGUGCGAUGAAGGCCUUCGGGUUGUAAAGCACUUUUGGUAGGAAAGCGGUACCUGCAGAAUAAGCACCGGCUAACUACGUGCCAGCAGCCGCGGUAAUUC
rnacentral:rRNA from 1 species